AACGAACGCUGGCGGCAUGCCUAACACAUGCAAGUCGAACGAGACCUUCGGGUCUAGUGGCGCACGGGUGCGUAACGCGUGGGAACCUGCCCUUAGGUUCGGAAUAACUCCCCGAAAGGGGUGCUAAUACCGGAUAAUGUCUUCGGACCAAAGAUUUAUCGCCUUUGGAUGGGCCCGCGUUGGAUUAGCUAGUUGGUAGGGUAAAAGCCUACCAAGGCGACGAUCCAUAGCUGGUCUGAGAGGAUGAUCAGCAACACUGGGACUGAGACACGGCCCAGACUCCUACGGGAGGGAGCAGUGGGGAAUAUUGGACAAUGGGCGAAAGCCUGAUCCAGCAAUGCCGCGUGAGUGAUGAAGGCCUUAGGGUUGUAAAGCUCUUUUACCCGGGAUGAUAAUGACAGUACCGGGAGAAUAAGCUCCGGCUAACUCCGUG
rnacentral:rRNA from 1 species